AACAAACGCUGGCGGCGUGCCUAAUACAUGCAAGUCGAACGGUGAAAGCUUUCGGGUGAGUACUAGUGGCGCACGGGUGAGUAACGCGUGGAUAAUCUGCCUUAGAGUGGGGGAUAACUAGUCGAAAGAUUAGCUAAUACCGCAUAAGACCACAAGAACUGCGGUUCAAGGGGUCAAAGGUUUUUCGCUCUAAGAUGAGUCCGCGUAAGAUUAGCUAGUUGGUAGGGUAACGGCCUACCAAGGCGACGAUCUUUAACUGGUCUGAGAGGAUGAUCAGUCACACUGGAACUGAGACACGGUCCAGACUCCUACGGGAGGCAGCAGUAGGGAAUAUUGAACAAUGGAGGAAACUCUGAUGCAGCGACGCCGCGUGAGUGAUGAAGGCCUUCGGGUCGUAAAGCUCUGUCGCAGGGGAAUAACACAAUGAAGGUACCCUGUAAGAAAGGAUCGGCUAACUUCGUGCCAGCCGCCGCCGUAAGAC
rnacentral:rRNA from 1 species